ACAGGUGGUGCAUGGCUGUCGUCAGCUCGUGUCGUGAGAUGUUGGGUUAAGUCCCGCAACGAGCGCAACCCUUGUCAUUAGUUGCCAUCAUUAAGUUGGGCACUCUAAUGAGACUGCCGGUGACAAACCGGAGGAAGGUGGGGAUGACGUCAAGUCAUCAUGCCCCUUAUGACCUGGGCUACACACGUGCUACAAUGGACGGUACAACGAGAAGCGAACCUGCGAAGGCAAGCGGAUCUCUUAAAGCCGUUCUCAGUUCGGACUGUAGGCUGCAACUCGCCUACACGAAGCUGGAAUCGCUAGUAAUCGCGGAUCAGCACGCCGCGGUGAAUACGUUCCCGGGCCUUGUACACACCGCCCGUCACACCAUGAGAGUCUGUAACACCCAAAGCCGGUGGGAUAACCUUUAUAGGAGUCAGCCGUCUAAGGUAGGACAGAUGAUUAGGGUGAAGUCGUAACAAGGUAGCCGUAGGAGAACCUGCGGUUGGAUCACCUC
rnacentral:rRNA from 1 species